rnacentral:ncRNA from 1 species
UACCGAUAUCCGCAGCAGGUCUCCGAGGUGAGCAGCCUCUAGCCGCAUAGAAUAAUGUAGGUAAGGGAAGUCGGCCAAACCGAUCCGUAACUUCGGGAUAAGGAUUGGCUCUGAGGAGCGUGGUCCGGCCACCGCGCCGUCGGUCGCGUAGCCGGAUCGACAGCCAUGUAACGGUCAACUCAGAACUUGCACGGACCAGGGGAAUCCGACUGUCUAAUUAAAACAAAGCAUCGCGAUGGCCCGGGACGGGGUGUUGACGCGAUGUGAUUUCUGCCCAGUGCUCUGAAUGUCAACGUGAAGAAAUUCAAGCAAGCGCGGGUAAACGGCAGGAGUAACUAUGACUCUUUUACGCUUACGUGGCGUGGCGUCUGGGUCCCCGAAAGCUUUCGGGACCUCAGGGAGCUUGGGUUAAGCCGUGGGCUGCUCGAGGGCUUGGUCACGCGUGUCCUCAAAGGCACCAAGCUUAACUGGUCUACGUUCAAUCAAAGAAAUUUGCUUAUUAUGAUAUAAUGAUUAUAUCAUAAUAUAUAUGUCAUUCAACGACAUUGCAGCCACCGAAUAAUCGGAUCAGAAUCAACCAAAGGCUUUGUCGGAUCAUUGUAGCGACACACGAGACGAGCAGCUCAUGAGAGAUACACCCGUAACGUGGAACUCCAAGGAGUCACUGGAACUAUGCCAUCUGAUAUAUAUAUAUAUAUAUAUACGCUAGAUCCGUCGUACCCGUAAUCAACCAUAUCUGCAGAACGUAAUUCCUGAGAAUUUUUACGAAUAUAUAAUCUAUUGAAAAAUAUUAUAAAAGUUCUUUUAUCAAUAUUAUAUAGAAUAUCGAGUUUAAAUUCUGUACAUUUUAUUUUUUAUAUUUUAUAUUAUAGUAUCAAGUAUCAAGUAUUCAAAAAUCAAAAUAUAAUUAUUUUAUCUUUCAGUUUUUCUUGCAAACAUGAAACAUUU